UGCUGGAUAGCUCAGUUGGUUAGAGCGCGGUGGUGAUAACGCUGAGGUUGCAGGUUUGAUCCAGCUGCAUGUUCCUGCAU